UACGUAGGGUGCAAGCGUUGUCCGGAAUUAUUGGGCGUAAAGAGCUCGUAGGCGGUCUGUUGCGUCGACUGUGAAAACCCGGGGCUCAACUCCGGGCCUGCAGUCGAUACGGGCAGACUAGAGUUCGGCAGGGGAGACUGGAAUUCCUGGUGUAGCAGUGAAAUGCGCAGAUAUCAGGAGGAACACCGGUGGCGAAGGCGGGUCUCUGGGCCGAAACUGACGCUGAGGAGCGAAAGCGUGGGGAGCGAACAGG
rnacentral:rRNA from 1 species